GAAGACAUUGAGGUUUUGUAUUAUUUAGAAUUAGGGUUGUGAUUUUCCGCUCUGACGAAACGGACUGGUCCAGGAGCGACGAUUCUUGGAGGAGCAACGACACAGUGAGAACCCUUUGCCCAGAUUCGUGCGAUUCAUCACAAAACCCUUAGCCAUUCGAUCACUGCAGUGGACGACGCUAUACCGGGGUUGCGAUUUGCCUGCUCCGACGAGACGCACUGGUCUAGGAGCGAAGGUCCUUUAAAUCUCCAAGAGCGACGAUUUAGUGGAGGGUGAUAAAUUACAUUAUAAAUCUGAAAAGCCUUUCCAACGCUGACAGUAACGAAAGUUUCAGUGCCGAGUCUCUGAACAGAGAAAGGGACGCUGCUUGUGAUGCAUCCGAUUGCUCUGUAAGCUUGACAGGCUCUAGUAAAGUUGUGGUUUGUAACAUUCAUGUGCUAUACAAUCCUAACAGGGGAGAAAUUAAGCUUGGCCAGAUAAUUCCUUUCUUAAUAUUGAGCUAUCUUAUCAUUGCUGAAGCUCAUUACUGAAGCUCAUUGGGUGAGAGAGCCAUCUGCUCUUCAACCUAUGACAGGUAAAAUCUUUGCCUUCCCCAACCCUACUA